rnacentral:misc_RNA from 1 species
AAAAAUUUAUAAAACUAAUUAUUUGGAAUCGUUAAAAAAUUGAAAAAGAUCGAUGCUUAAUCUUUAUCAGUGAGGAUCAAAAUUGGGUGUCAACAGGGAUACCUAAACGGAGAAAAAUUUUGAUAGAGGAACCAAUAGAGGACGAACAAAAAUCCAAUCCAAACAUUGUUUCAACUCAAUAAAGAAAGUAAAGAAAGACUCAACAAGCUAUAAUGCUUACAAACUUCCUUCUCGUCACGCAUUACACAAUUUUCUACCAAACGUACUAAUGAUAUUAAGAAACACAGCGCGCAGACUUCAGCCCAUGAGUUUGAACAUUUUUUACUGCAAAAAAUCCACAUACAAGACGCGAUUUGAACAAGUCAUACUACGCAGCUAGAUCGCAAGGACACUAAAAAAAACUAGAACCAAACUACGAGAAAGGAAUGUUAUUUUAUAAUAUGUACUAGCCAUUUUAAUUGAUCUGAGGACUUAAGGAUAGGCAAAUAGUAAGGAACAACCUAAACAUAACACACCUAAUACUUAAACAUGAUUUUGGCAGAACCACACAAGCCUUCUAACAUUAAGAGGUAGAGCUCGAGAAAGAAAGGCAAAACGGAAACAUAGAUGGACAGCCAAGAUACAACAUGCUAUAUAACGACCCCUAAACUGACUCGCUCCAAACAUUGAAUCACGCAGCAAACCCCAAGAAAGAAAACGACAACUCGAAACUUCAUGGUAGCAGGCCACAAAACCUUCAAGGUCUUAGCUCGAUGCUACGCCAUAAAAAUGACUAUGAAUACACAUAUUAUAUUAAAAUAGCACCAAUUUAGCAGUAACUAACAACAAACAAUCAU